GGGCACCAAAAGGGAGUGUUGAAAAUACAAAGCUGAUCAUGUCAUCAUUCACAUGAGUAACAGCUCUCAAAGGAUCUCCAAGGAUAAACACAGAAGACUCAACCUUUAUCCAGAUCUCUUUGUGAUAUGGUCCCUGUGAAGCCCUCCAGACUCUUCUCUACAUACUUCCCAAUGUGCCCGUGAGCCUUGGCCACCCCAUGGACUUGAGAUUCCUUCAGCAAGCUAACAUCUUCAUAGCCUCCAUGUCAUCACCCAUGAGUACAUAUAGCAGGCACUCAAUAACUGUGGAAUAAUUCACAUGAUCCUCUCAUGUAGAAUUUCCAAUGAUUUGAAGGAAUUCCAUUUGUGAUAUGAGCUCCAUUUUAGUAAGCUGACUUUUCCACAAGUGUGUAUUGUGUGCCUGCUGUAUGCAGGCCCAUUUUCCUACUGAGCCCCAUUUGUUGCAAACUGGAGCUGAAUCACUGUGACAGGUUUAGCAGUCUCUCACGUCAUCAGCUGCCCUGGCAGGGCCUUCCUUCAAAUCCCGAUUCCAUCUCAGCACAAGAUGAAGUCACACGUUCUAAUGCUCAUGAGCAUGGCUCCUUGAUGCCCUUCCAUAUUCUGAAGCUAAUCUAAAGGCUCCAGUUGGUUCUAGGUUUCUGGAAUGUACAACAAUUACAUGACUUCGUCUGGAGAAUUUCACCUGCCAUAUUGGAAGGAAGGAUUCCCCCAAUUUAAUCGCAUUCUAAGAUGGACCAAGCAGAAUACUCCUCUAUGGAAGGGAAGAGGAACCACCGGCACUGACCCACGAAUUGGAAGAUGCUGCCACCUAGAGGAUGUGAGGGAAAAUGAAUCCUCCCCUAGAGUUUCACUUUUUUUGUUGUUUUUGUUGUUGUUGUUGUUGUUGUUGUUGUGAGAUGGAAUCUCGCUGUAUUGCCCAGGCUGGAGUGAGUGCAGUGGCAUGAUCUCGGCUCACUGCAACCUCUGCCUCCCUGGUUCAAGCAAACCUGCCUCAGCCUCUCAAGUAGCUGGGAUAAAAGAGGCCCGCCACCCCUCCCCCUGCUAAUUUUGCAUUUUU